ACACGGGCCAGGAUCUCCUCAUCGAGCGUAAGAGAGGCGAUGGCGGCCAGGAGCCAGCAGUCACCUGCACAGAUAUACACAUCUGGAGGAUUUGUGAAUGCCCUCACUCCAGGUCAUCAGAAACUUCUGUAAGUAUCUAAAACAUCCUUUGUUGCAUGCAAGAACUGCCCAGGUCAAUUGAAAACACUUAAAAUUAAAUAACAUCAAAAAGGGAUCUGUUUUACCACAGUAAUGCAUAGUUCCUCCAGCAGAGGGUGCUGUUAGACCUGAAACCAUUGACCUGGCAGUCACAGUGGCUAUGCUCUGGGUAAAUGGAUCACUGCUGCAGAUCCAAAUGUGGUGUAGAUGUUAUUGUAGAUUCCCAGAGCAGUCAGCCAAAACUGGCUGGAGGAGAGAGAAACUGCAGCAAAACCAGCUAUGGAUAGAAGACAGCUCAAACCUUAGCCUUAAAAUGAGGAACCUAAUGAAUUUUCUAUUGAGUCUGAAGUUUUAUGAAUAUAUACUUCAAUACCGAUAUACUAGAAGAAAAACUAGUUUAUGCCCUUAUAACUAAGUACAUGGCACCCAUCUGUUAAUAGAUUCACUGUCCAUUUGUUUCACUUGUGCUUUAGCCAUGGCUCAAUAAUGAAAGCAGGAUGUAGGAGGAGCAUUAGAGGUCAUUACUAGUUAAACGGCUCCACCACAACAUCCACCCACACACCGCCUCUGCAGUCAUCUUGCCAAGAUUUCAGACUGAUCUCCCAAAGCCUCCUCAGUUCAGCCACUCUUCCCAGCCCUCCAUCCAGAAUGCUCUCUGUCAAUGUUAGACACCUCAUUUUUCCACAGAGUCGUUUGAAAAUGGGAUUUGGCCAUUAUUGCUGGAACCAAUAAUCAUCUGGUGUGCCCUAACCGCAAAUUGUCAUUGCCAUUUUCAUUUUGCAAGAAUAGCACAUACCCAAGGGAGGACAUCUCAACUGUCACAUCCAUGUAUGUUCUGUUUGGGUGACUGACAGAUGUUUAUACUCGGCACAGUGAUGCAGGAUACAGGUGUGUCACACCCCCUUCUCUUUGUUAAAAAUGAUCUUUUCUUUUGGGACUACUGCAAAACAAAAGACUGCCAGCAUGUCAUACCACUCCUGGUAGGUGGUUCCCUGAGUAAACAUUACCGGUGGUUCUGUUUGCAUGUUAUGUAUUUGCAUAUCAUUCGAACUUGUGUUUAACUUACAGAUCAACAGUGUUGGAGAUAAGUACUGUUGGACAACGAAGUGUGACAACUUUAAUAUCUCAUGAACUUGGGAAAGUAAGACUAAGAUUUCUUUUUUGAAUCAAACUUCAGCUAAAAUGAUUUCUGAAAUGGGUUUUCAAGUGGCUCAGUCCAUAAAUGUGUUUUUAAAGCUAUAGUUGAACUCUAUACUCUAGGAGUCUGAACUGUAUGAUUUCCAGACCUGGGUCCAGUAAUUAUGGUGGAGGGAACUAUUACUAUUACUAUUGCUGGUCUGAGGACCCAUCAAAAUAUUUAGCCGUCUGACCUGAACAUCCAGACCAGAUGAUGUCCGUUUUUUUCAGAAGUUAAAAAAAAUGGGCACGUUUUCACGUCACUUUUUUUUUUAAGCUUAAUUAAAAUGCUGCAUCAGCUCACCCAGCA